GUCGUUGUCUUUUAAAUUUUCUCUGGAAACAAACACUCAUUUAAAUUAAUAAAUAAUCGGCCCAGAUUGAUGGAGGCUGUUAUGGAUACUCGUCGGAGAGUCAAAUUCCCGGAAACCAGCCGGAGUUUUAUUUAUAUUUUUAUUUUUUCUCUUGUUUUCUUCAUUCGAGAAUAAUGGCAACCACCACUAACACCAAUACACCCGUGGUGGACUCUGCAUCCUCAGCAGACGAGCUCACCGCCAAGACUGUACACAAGCGCUAUGAAAAUCUCGUUAUGGUUAGAACCAAAGCGAUAAAAGGCAAAGGUGCGUGGUACUGGGCUCACUUGGAGCCUAUUCUGGUCCACAACACUGAGACUAACCUCCCUAAAGCAGUUAAGCUCCGGUGUUCCUUAUGCGACGCGGUUUUCUCAGCUCAGCCUCAAAUCCCUCUCGUACUGCCUCUGAGCAUCUGAAACGCGGGACGUGCCCGAAUUUCAACUCGCUUCCCAAACCCAUUUCGUCUCUCUCCCCG
rnacentral:misc_RNA from 1 species